rnacentral:rRNA from 1 species
AAUCAACGCUGGCGGCGUGCCUCAGACAUGCAAGUCGAACGAUUAAAGCUCUCUUCGGAGAGUGUAUAGAGUGGCGCACGGGUGAGUAACACGUAAGUAAUCUACCCUCGAGUGGGGAAUAACAACCGGAAACGGUUGCUAAUACCGCAUAAUGCAGCGGCACCGCAAGGUGACAGUUGUUAAAGAUUUAUCGCUUGAGGAGGAGCUUGCGGCAGAUUAGCUAGUUGGUAGGGUAACGGCUUACCAAGGCUACGAUCUGUAACCGGUCUAAGAGGACGGUCGGUCACACUGACACUGAAUAACGGGUCAGACUCCUACGGGAGGCAGCAGUCGGGAAUUUUGGGCAAUGGGCGAAAGCCUGACCCAGCAACGCCGCGUGAAGGAUGAAGUAUUUCGGUAUGUAAACUUCGAAAGAAUAGGAGGAAUUAAUGACGGUACUAUUUAUAAGGUCCGGCUAACUACGUG